rfam:Trichobilharzia regenti genome assembly, scaffold: TRE_scaffold0015614
AUCCAGCUGACGAGUCCCAAAUAGGACGAAACGUGCAUCCUGGAU